rnacentral:rRNA from 1 species
UACGAAGGGGGCUAGCGUUGCUCGGAAUCACUGGGCGUAAAGGGUGCGUAGGCGGGUCUUAAGUCGGGGGUGAAAGCCCAGGGCUCAACCCUGGAAUUGCCUUCGAUACUGAGAGUCUUGAGUUCGGAAGAGGUUGGUGGAACUGCGAGUGUAGAGGUGAAAUUCGUAGAUAUUCGCAAGAACACCAGUGGCGAAGGCGGCCAACUGGUCCGAUACUGACGCUGAGGCGCGAAAGCGUGGGAGCAACAGGAGUA